CAUGCCUGUCAAAUUAAUUACCAGAUGACCCUGAGGAUUCAGAGCUUGGCUCUGUGGCUGAGGAGACCCCACUGGGGAAGGACAGUAUCUCCCUGGGAGUGAGAGAAGGAUUUAUCACUGAAAUCUCCCUGUCAUUCUCCAUCCUGCGACGCUCCACCCUGGGCCCUAAUGUCUCUCUGCAGGAGGCAGCUAGGAAGACACUCUGGGCUCUAGAAA